AACAAAAGGCGAUACCAGGAGGAUGGCUUCGACUUGGACCUGACCUAUAUUUAUCCAAACAUAAUUGCUAUGGGUUUUCCUGCAGAGAGGCUUGAAGGAGUGUACCGUAACAACAUUGAUGAUGUAGUAAGGUUUUUGGAUUCAAAACAUAAAAACCAUUACAAGAUAUACAAUCUAUGUGCAGAAAGACAUUAUGACACCGCCAAAUUUAAUUGCAGAGGAAAUAGAACUUCCAAAUG